AGCGAACAUUGGCGGUAGGCUUAACACAUGCAAGUCGAGCGAGGCGUAAUAGUCGAGCGGCGAACGGGUGAGUAAUACAUGGGAAUCUACCUCGAAGUGGGGGAUAACAGCCAGAAAUGGCUGCUAAUACCGCAUAAUCCGGGAACGGGAAAGCGCGCUGCGCUUUGAGAUGAGCCCAUGGCUGAUUAGCUAGUUGGUGGGGUAAAGGCCUACCAAGGCGACGAUCAGUAGCUGGUCUGAGAGGAUGAUCAGCCACACUGGAACUGAGACACGCUCCAGACUCCUACGGGAGGCAGCAGUGGGGAAUCUUGCGCAAUGAGGGCAACCCUGACGCAGCCAUACCGCGUGUGCGAUGAAGGUCUUCGGAUUGUAAAGCACUUUCAGUGGGGACGACGAUGACGGUACCCACAGAAGAAGUCACGGCUAACUUCGUGCCAGCAGCCGCCGUAA
rnacentral:rRNA from 1 species